GUGCUCACUUUGGCAGCACAUGCACUAAAAAUGGAAUGAUGCAAACAUUAACAUAGCCCCUACGCAAAGAUGACAUGCAAAUUUGUGAAGCAUUCCGUAUUUUU